AGCCACGCUCGAUUCUCAAACUCCCCUCAGUGCCAUUCUCACCGUUCGACUGCUUACAUACGGACGAUGCUGGUCUUCGUACAAGAGAAGUCUUGCCUCGUACAUCGAGCCUUGUGAAGUUUAAUUAUCAGUGGGCGACGUAAUCGCGACUUGUACAGUUCGAACUCCUCGUAUAUUAUCCCUUUCAGAUAUGCCUUGGUGAGUUGCCGGUUUCUUAUCGCGUUUAUACUGAUCCCUUCGUACCGAGCCAAAAGUAAAACAAGGGAAGCAACAUAGGAAUCUCGAAGAAUGAUCAAUGCUCCUAUGGAAUCGACGAAAGAAACCUCUUCACGUUCGGUAUGAACGUUUUCACUGUUACCAAAAAGGUAUUAUAUCCAGCGGCACAUCAAGGAAAUACUUCACGACUUCACAAGAGAAUUAUUAAUGCAUCGCUGACGGCUGAAGUAGUAAAAAAUUGCGGCUAGUUGUUUAUAAAAGUACUUAAUGUCAUGACUAAUUCUAAUGUGCGAUAUUAACGGGUACACAUUACAAAUUUUCACUAAACACCACCUAUACCAGUAUUUAAUCGUAAUAUCGAGUAAGGUUGACCUCAAAGCCAGUGAACGUUGUCGUUACAAACGAGAAACGACAAUGUACAAAAAUUUCAGCAACACUUGAAAAGUGUACAAAUUAAUCAUCGACGCCUGCUUAUUCGCAUGUAUCGCCCGAACGAAGAAGGGGAAAAAAUUUCAUUGGAAAAUCGAUGGACCACUGAUUUUUACAACUACCAUAUUUCUACGAGAUUUACACGCAACGAAAUAUCAACUCG